UUUUCUGUAGUGUAAUGGUUAUCACUUUCGCCUCACACGCGAAAGGUCCUCAGUUCAAAACUGGGCAGAAACA